rnacentral:rRNA from 1 species
CCUACGGGGGGCUGCAGUCGAGAAUCUUCGGCAAUGGGCGCAAGCCUGACCGAGCGACGCCGCGUGGAGGAUGAAGGCCUUCGGGUUGUAAACUCCUGUCGAGGGGGAGGAAGGGGCAACCUUGACCUAUCCCUGGAGGAAGCACGGGCUAAGUUCGUGCCAGCAGCCGCGGUAAGACGAACCGUGCGAACGUUAUUCGGAAUCAUUGGGCUUAAAGCGCGUGUAGGCGGAUGGGAACGUCGGUGUUGAAAGCCCCCGGCUCAACCGGGGAAUUGGCUCCGAAACGACCCGUCUGGAGGGGCAUAGGGGGAUCUGGAACUUCCGGUGGAGCGGUGAAAUGCGUUGAGAUCGGAAGGAACGCCCGUGGCGAAAGCGAGAUCCUGGAUGUCUUCUGACGCUGAGACGCGAAAGCUAGGGUAGCGAACGGGAUUAGAUACCCUAGUAGUC